rnacentral:rRNA from 1 species
ACGCUGGCGGCAGGCCUAAUACAUGCAAGUCGAACGAUCCUUCGGGAUAGUGGCGGACGGGUGCGUAACACGUGGGAAUUUGCCCUUGGGUAAGGAAUAACAGUUAGAAAUGACUGCUAAUACCUUAUAACAUCUCCGGAUCAAAGAUUUAUCGCCCAAGGAUGAGCCCGCGGCUGAUUAGCUUGUUGGUGGGGUAAUGGCCUACCAAGGCGACGAUCAGUAGCUGGUCUGAGAGGAUGAUCAGCCACACUGGGACUGAGACACGGCCCAGACUCCUACGGGAGGCAGCAGUAAGGAAUAUUGGACAAUGGGGGCAACCCUGAUCCAGCCAUGCCGCGUGUGUGAAGAAGGCCCUAGGGUUGUAAAACACUUUCAAUCGUGAAGAUAAUGACUGUAACGAUACAAGAAGCCCCGGCUAACUCCGUGCCAGCAGCCGCGGUAAUACGGAGGGGGCGAGCGUUAUUCGGAAUCACUGGGCGUAAAGCGUACGUAGGCGGCUUAACAAGUCAGAAGUGAAAUCCCAGGGCUUAACCCUGGAACUGCUUUUGAAACUGUUUCGCUAGAAUAUUGGAGAGGUCAGGAGAAUUCCUAGUGUAGAGGUGAAAUUCGUAGAUAUUAGGAGGAAUACCAGUGGCGUAGGCGCCUGACUGGACAAUUAUUGACGCUGAGGUACGAAAGUGUGGGGAGCAAACAGGAUUAGAUACCCUGGUAGUCCACACCGUAAACGAUGUGUACUAGUUGUCGGGCCCUUGAGGUUCGGUGACGCAGCUAACGCAGUAAGUACACCGCCUGGGAAGUACGGCCGCAAGGUUAAAACUCAAAGGAAUUGACGGGGACCCGCACAAGCGGUGGAGC